rnacentral:rRNA from 1 species
AUUGAACGCUGGCGGCAUGCCUUACACAUGCAAGUCGAACGGUAACGCGGGGCAACCUGGCGACGAGUGGCGAACGGGUGAGUAAUGCAUCGGAACGUGCCCAGUAGUGGGGGAUAGCCCGGCGAAAGCCGGAUUAAUACCGCAUACGACCUACGGGUGAAAGGGGGGGAUCGCAAGACCUCUCGCUAUUGGAGCGGCCGAUGUCAGAUUAGGUAGUUGGUGGGGUAAAGGCCUACCAAGCCGACGAUCUGUAGCUGGUCUGAGAGGACGACCAGCCACACUGGGACUGAGACACGGCCCAGACUCCUACGGGAGGCAGCAGCGGGGAAUUUUGGACAAUGGGCGCAAGCCUGAUCCAGCCAUGCCGCGUGCGGGAAGAAGGCCUUCGGGUUGUAAACCGCUUUUGUCAGGGAAGAAAUCUUCUGGGUUAAUACCUCGGGAGGAUGACGGUACCUGAAGAAUAAGCACCGGCUAACUACGUGCCAGCCGCCGCCGUAAGAC